GCAGACUUUGGGUAUGCAACCGAGGGGUCUUCAACAUUCUGUGGUGUCUUCAAUUUUGGGGUGCGUAUCCUCUGGUUUAUGUCUUUCAGAGUCACGUCUCCUUGGGCGCCACACGGUUUAACAAAAGAAAAUGGAUAGACAACAGAGGAAGCAGCUUUUGUAGGAGCCCGCAUAUAUGAUCUCCUACCUUUGAAAACAACAUUUUUACGAGUUUGUACAGGGCGCUCUUGAACCACAUUAGAUUCACAUUCACGUGGGGUGUUGCAAAUCUCUGAAACAUCGAGCUGAAUAUCAGAGGCAGCGAUAUCCUCAAGGCUGACAUGCAUCUGAGAAUCGUUUAAACAACUAGCAACCCAUCCUUCAGAUGACUGAUCGAGCCCCUCAUUACCAGAUGAAGAUAUGUCCUCUGAAAAUACUGAAACCCACUGUGACAUUUCAGAGAUGAAUUCAUCAACAGAAGUGUCAGUCUCCUGCGAAUUUAGAAAUGAUGAUGAUAGUUCCUCGUUGCUAAGUGGUGCAUCUGCUGCUUCUGUAUCAAACUGAAGCAUUCUG
rnacentral:misc_RNA from 1 species